GAAUUCGAGGUCUCAUGAACUACUACUAAAAAUCAACCUUGUUUUUGUUUUAUUUGUGGACAAACGAUAUCCGGCCAGGCCUAUGGCUGGAUCCUUUUAGAUCUACGGGCCGGCCGGCCCCGGCCGUUUACAUGAGCAUAGGGAAUCUAUACUCGAGCGUUCCACUGGGCCCCUGACAGGAUAGGUGAGGAAUCACUCUGGAUCUUCUUUUUUUGGGCUACAACUUCGCCGAGCCGACUAGCAUCCCUUUCCACUGUGCAUUUUUCGAACAAAGAAGACGACUAUAGGAUCGAAUUCGCUCUUCAAGAAACUGCUCGUCCCAUACCUUCUGCCUGUCUCAUAUGUGUGGAACCUGGUCUUUUUCGGUUCCAGCCUCUCCCUCGAAUACAUAGGGUAGGUAGGGCUGGGUGAGAAAUGGUUCCCUCUUGCCAAUAAACUUUCCCCGGCCUUCGAUUAACCUUACUCAUAAAGGGUCUUACGGUCGGGAGAACUACCUAACUAAAGAAAAAUAGUGUUCUUUCUAAGAGUAGGCGUGGAGAGCUUUUUGCGGGGAAACUUGCAAGUACAGUUUGGGGGAAGGGGGAACUUCUGUUAAUUUCGUGACUUGACUGACUUCAGACUGGAAUCAACCAUCCAAGAAAUCUUUCGCCCUAAGUAAGGUCUAACUUUCUUUCUCCCGGGAUUCUCUUAUAUAACCAACCAAGCCAGGGGAAGGGCUAGCCCAGCUAUUCGAUUCGAGCUAUAGAGAAAGGCCCAAUUAGACCAAGGAUCAGAUAGGCAACUGAGUUUCAGUUUCAAAAGGGAUAAAAUAUCACUAGAACGAGGUUCAGUUCAAAUCGGGUGGAAGAGAGCGGUUUAGUGGCUUUGGGGAGUCCAUUGCAUCAAGAGUAUAGAGAUUGAUUGGGCCCAAGGACCCUUUUAGCAAACCAGGAAUAUAGUUAACAAAGAGGUAUCUAAGUUGCUCCUUUCUUCAGGCUUGGCGAGGGGGAGGGGCGUACGGACCACUCCAUUCGAAGUCUCACAAAUGUUGCACCCCGGCAGCAAAGCGAACCACCGGAACUAAAGUCACGAUUGCAGGCCUUCGGAGCCGGUGAUCUGUUCGGCCUAAGAUCCUCUCGAGAAAAAAAAAGGGUGACUCAACUUCUUAGCUAGAGUUGGUGAUGGGACCUGUUGGCAUAAUGCACGUUGGAACGUGGGAAUUCGAGGUCUCAUGAACUACUACUAAAAACCAACCUUGUUUUUGUUUUGUUUGUGGACAAACGAUAUCCGGUCAGGCCUAUGGCUGGAUCCUUUUAGAUCUACGGGCCGGCCGGCCCCGGCCGUUUACAUGAGCAUAGGGAAUCUAUACUCGAGCGUUCCACUGGGCCCCUGACAGGAUAGGUGAGGAAUCACUCUGGAUCUUCUUUUUUUGGGCUACAACUUCGCCGAGCCGACUAGCAUCCCUUUCCACUGUGCAUUUUUCGAACAAAGAAUACGACUAUAGGAUCGAAUUCUCAAGAAACUGCUCGUCCCAUACCUUCUGCCUGUCUCAUAUGUGUGGAACCUGGUCUUUUUCGGUUCCAGCCUCUCCCUCGAAUACAUAGGGUAGGUAGGGCUGGGUGAGAAAUGGUUCCCUCUUGCCAAUAAACUUUCCCCGGCCUUCGAUUAACCUUACUCAUAAAGGGUCUUACGGUCGGGAGAACUACCUAACUAAAGAAAAAUAGUGUUCUUUC
rnacentral:lncRNA from 1 species